rnacentral:rRNA from 1 species
CCUACGGGACGCACCAGUGGGGAAUAUUGCACAAUGGGCGCAAGCCUGAUGCAGCCAUGCCGCGUGUAUGAAGAAGGCCUUCGGGUUGUAAAGUACUUUCAGCGGGGAGGAAGGUGUUGAGGUUAAUAACCUCAGCAAUUGACGUUACCCGCAGAAGAAGCACCGGCUAACUCCGUGCCAGCAGCCGCGGUAAUACGGAGGGUGCAAGCGUUAAUCGGAAUUACUGGGCGUAAAGCGCACGCAGGCGGUCUGUCAAGUCGGAUGUGAAAUCCCCGGGCUCAACCUGGGAACUGCAUUCGAAACUGGCAGGCUAGAGUCUUGUAGAAGGGGGUAGAAUUCCAGGUGUAGCGGUGGAAUGCGUAGAGAUCUGGAGGAAUACCGGUGGCGAAGGCGGCCCCCUGGACAAAGACUGACGCUCAGGUGCGAAAGCGUGGGGAGCAAACAGGAUUAGAUACCCCUGUAGUC